CUGCUACUGCUGUGGUUAAGUGGGAACCUGGUGAUGGAACUGACUAACCCUGGUGACCUGGCUGGCUUAGGAUGGAUCAAGGUGUUUGUACUGGUGUUCAGCGGCCUGGGCAUAUUGGUGCAUCUAGUUGGCUUCUUCUACAUGAGGAACUUUGAACUGCUCCUGGAGAUGUUGUAUAUAAGAAACAACUUGCUGGCCAUCGCAAUGGGCUUAUGCUGGCGUCCGUACAGCUACUUGACUUCCUCUCCUUCCACCACCUGUUCGGGCCCUGGACGGUCAUCAUCGGGAAACUAAUGGUCGACUUGGCUAGAUUUCUCGUUAUUUUGGCUAUAUUCGUCUUCGGGUUUUUCUAUGUAUGUGGCAGCGAUCUAUAACCCCCUCAGACCUAUCUAUACUGACCUGAACAUUACCAGUGAGAGUACAGGUUACCCUCCAGCAGAGGCGCCCAUCCAGACGCCGCUACAGACGAAUAGAUGCUCUUCUUUUCUCUCUUCGGCCUGGUGGAACCUGACUACAUGCUCCUCUACAGCCACCCCGACUGGAGCCAAUCCCUCAUGAAGAUCGUGUUUGGGAUUUACCAGAUGGUGACAGUAGUGGUGCUCAUCAACCUCUUAAUUGCCAUGAUGUCCGACACCUACCAGAGGAUCCAAGCCAAGAGUGACACCGAGUGGAAGUUCGGACUGGCUAAACUAAUUCGAAACAUGAGUCGAACCUCUGGAACUCCGUCACCUCUGAACCUCCUUGUGAAGAUAAUUGUUUAAGUCGCCGUCUUCAA